CCUACGGGUGGCAGCAGUGGGGAAUAUUGGGCAAUGGGCGCAAGCCUGACCCAGCAACGCCGCGUGAAGGAAGAAGGCUUUCUGGUUGUAAACUUCUUUUGUCAGGGACGAAGCACGUGACGGUACCUGACGCAUAAGCCACGGCUAACUACGGGCCAGCAGCCGCGGUAAUACGUAGGGGGCAAGCGUUAUCCGGAUUUAUUGGGUGUAAAGGGCGUGUAGGCGGGAAUGCAAGUCAGAGGUGAAAACUAUGGGCUCAACCCAUAGCCUGCAUUUGAAACUGUAGUUCUUGAGUGCGGGAGAGGCAAUCGGAAUGCCGGGUGUAGCGGUGAAAUGCGUAGAUAUACGGAGGAACACCAGUGGCGAAGGCGGAUUGCUGGACAGUAACUGACGCUGAGGCGCGAAAGCGUGGGGAGCAAACAGGAUUAGAUACCCCUGUAGUC
rnacentral:rRNA from 1 species